AGAGUUUGAUCCUGGCUCAGAUUGAACGCUGGCGGCAUGCCUUACACAUGCAAGUCGAACGGUAACAGGUCUUCGGAUGCUGACGAGUGGCGAACGGGUGAGUAAUACAUCGGAACGUGCCCGAUCGUGGGGGAUAACGCAGCGAAAGCUGUGCUAAUACCGCAUACGAUCUACGGAUGAAAGCGGGGGAUCGCAAGACCUCGCGCGGACGGAGCGGCCGAUGGCAGAUUAGGUAGUUGGUGGGAUAAAAGCUUACCAAGCCGACGAUCUGUAGCUGGUCUGAGAGGACGACCAGCCACACUGGGACUGAGACACGGCCCAGACUCCUACGGGAGGCAGCAGUGGGGAAUUUUGGACAAUGGGGGAAACCCUGAUCCAGCCAUGCCGCGUGCAGGAUGAAGGCCUUCGGGUUGUAAACUGCUUUUGUACGGAACGAAAAGACUCUGGUUAAUACCUGGGGUCCAUGACGGUACCGUAAGAAUAAGCACCGGCUAACUACGUGCCAGCAGCCGCGGUAAUACGUAGGGUGCAAGCGUUAAUCGGAAUUACUGGGCGUAAAGCGUGCGCAGGCGGUGAUGUAAGACAGAGGUGAAAUCCCCGGGCUCAACCUGGGAACUGCCUUUGUGACUGCAUCGCUGGAGUGCGGCAGAGAGGGAUGGAAUUCCGCGUGUAGCAGUGAAAUGCGUAGAUAUGCGGAGGAACACCGAUGGCGAAGGCAAUCCCCUGGGCCUGCACUGACGCUCAUGCACGAAAGCGUGGGGGAGCAAACAGGAUUAGAUACCCUGGUAGUCCACGCCCUAAACGAUGUCAACU
rnacentral:rRNA from 1 species